rnacentral:rRNA from 1 species
UAGGGAAUCUUCCACAAUGGGCGCAAGCCUGAUGGAGCAACACCGCGUGAGUGAAGAAGGGUUUCGGCUCGUAAAGCUCUGUUGUUAAAGAAGAACGUGUGUGAGAGUGGAAAGUUCACACAGUGACGGUAACUUACCAGAAAGGGACGGCUAACUACGUGCCA